AGAGUUUGAUCAUGGCUCAGAUUGAACGCUGGCGGCAGGCCUAACACAUGCAAGUCGAGCGGAUGAGUGGAGCUUGCUCCAUGAUUCAGCGGCGGACGGGUGAGUAAUGCCUAGGAAUCUGCCUGGUAGUGGGGGACAACGUUUCGAAAGGAACGCUAAUACCGCAUACGUCCUACGGGAGAAAGUGGGGGAUCUUCGGACCUCACGCUAUCAGAUGAGCCUAGGUCGGAUUAGCUAGUUGGCGAGGUAAAGGCUCACCAAGGCGACGAUCCGUAACUGGUCUGAGAGGAUGAUCAGUCACACUGGAACUGAGACACGGUCCAGACUCCUACGGGAGGCAGCAGUGGGGAAUAUUGGACAGUGGGCGAAAGCCUGAUCCAGCCAUGCCGCGUGUGUGAAGAAGGUCUUCGGAUUGUAAAGCACUUUAAGUUGGGAGGAAGGGCAGUAAGUUAAUACCUUGCUGUUUUGACGUUACCGACAGAAUAAGCACCGGCUAACUUCGUGCCAGCAGCCGCGGUAAUACGAAGGGUGCAAGCGUUAAUCGGAAUUACUGGGCGUAAAGCGCGCGUAGGUGGUUCGUUAAGUUGGAUGUGAAAGCCCCGGGCUCAACCUGGGAACUGCAUCCAAAACUGGCGAGCUAGAGUAUGGCAGAGGGUGGUGGAAUUUCCUGUGUAGCGGUGAAAUGCGUAAAUAUAGGAAG
rnacentral:rRNA from 1 species